rnacentral:rRNA from 1 species
AUUGAACGCUGGCGGCAUGCCUUACACAUGCAAGUCGAACGGUAACGGGUCCUUCGGGAUGCCGACGAGUGGCGAACGGGUGAGUAAUAUAUCGGAACGUGCCCAGUAGUGGGGGAUAACUGCUCGAAAGGGCAGCUAAUACCGCAUACGACCUGCGGGUGAAAGGGGGGGAUCGCAAGACCUCUCGCUAUUGGAGCGGCCGAUAUCAGAUUAGGCAGUUGGUGGGGUAAAGGCCUACCAAGGCAACGAUCUGUAGUUGGUCUGAGAGGACGACCAGCCACACUGGGACUGAGACACGGCCCAGACUCCUACGGGAGGCAGCAGUGGGGAAUUUUGGACAAUGGGCGCAAGCCUGAUCCAGCAAUGCCGCGUGCAGAAAGAAGGCCUUCGGGUUGUAAACUGCUUUUGUCAGGGAAGAAAUCUUCUGGGCUAAUACCCCGGGAGGAUGACGGUACCUGAAGAAUAAGCACCGGCUAACUACGUGCCAGCCGCCGCAGUAA